AGAUUGAACGCUGGCGGCAGGCCUAACACAUGCAAGUCGAGCGGCAGCACGGGUACUUGUACCUGGUGGCGAGCGGCGGACGGGUGAGUAAUGCCUAGGAAUCUGCCUGAUAGUGGGGGAUAACGUUCGGAAACGGACGCUAAUACCGCAUACGUCCUACGGGAGAAAGUGGGGGAUCUUCGGACCUCACGCUAUCAGAUGAGCCUAGGUCGGAUUAGCUAGUUGGUAGGGUAAAGGCCUACCAAGGCUACGAUCCGUAACUGGUCUGAGAGGAUGAUCAGUCACACUGGAACUGAGACACGGUCCAGACUCCUACGGGAGGCAGCAGUGGGGAAUAUUGGACAAUGGGCGAAAGCCUGAUCCAGCCAUGCCGCGUGUGUGAAGAAGGUCUUCGGAUUGUAAAGCAACGUUUAAGUUGGGAGGAAAGGUCAAGUUAACCUAAGUUACGUUAGUGUUUUGACGUUUACCGAUAAGAAUAAGCACCGGCUAACCUCUAGUCGACCAGCCAAGCCCG
rnacentral:rRNA from 1 species